GACGUAGGGCGCGAGCGUUGUCCGGAUUUAUUGGGUGUAAAGGGCUCGUAGGCGGCUUGUCGCGUCGACUGUGAAAACCCGCGGCUCAACUGCGGGCCUGCAGCCGAUACGGGCAGGCUAGAGUUCGGUAGGGGAGACUGGAAUUCCUGGUGUAGCGGUGAAAUGCGUAGAUAUCUGGAGGAACACCGGUGGCGAAGGCGGCAUCCUGGACCGGCAUUGACGCUGAGGCGCGAAAGCCAGGGGAGCAAACGGG
rnacentral:rRNA from 1 species